GACGAACGCUGGCGGCGUGCCUAAUACAUGCAAGUAGAACGCUGAAGGAGGAGCUUGCUUCUCUGGAUGAGUUGCGAACGGGUGAGUAACGCGUAGGUAACCUGCCUGGUAGCGGGGGAUAACUAUUGGAAACGAUAGCUAAUACCGCAUAAGAGUAGAUGUUGCAUGACAUUUGCUUAAAAGGUGCAAUUGCAUCACUACCAGAUGGACCUGCGUUGUAUUAGCUAGUUGGUGGGGUAACGGCUCACCAAGGCGACGAUACAUAGCCGACCUGAGAGGGUGAUCGGCCACACUGGGACUGAGACACGGCCCAGACUCCUACGGGAGGCAGCAGUAGGGAAUCUUCGGCAAUGGACGGAAGUCUGACCGAGCAACGCCGCGUGAGUGAAGAAGGUUUUCGGAUCGUAAAGCUCUGUUGUAAGAGAAGAACGAGUGUGAGAGUGGAAAGUUCACACUGUGACGGUAUCUUACCAGAAAGGGACGGCUAACUACGUGCCAGCAGCCGCGGUAAUACGUAGGUCCCGAGCGUUGUCCGGAUUUAUUGGGCGUAAAGCGAGCGCAGGCGGUUAGAUAAGUCUGAAGUUAAAGGCUGUGGCUUAACCAUAGUACGCUUUGGAAACUGUUUAACUUGAGUGCAAGAGGGGAGAGUGGAAUUCCAUGUGUAGCGGUGAAAUGCGUAGAUAUAUGGAGGAACACCGGUGGCGAAAGCGGCUCUCUGGCUUGUAACUGACGCUGAGGCUCGAAAGCGUGGGGAGCAAAAGGAAAAAAAACCCCGGGGAGCCCCCGCCGAAAACGAGGGAGACCAGGGGGUGGGGGUCUAACCGGAAUGCCCGGGCAAACGCAAGAAAUAAUCCCCCCGGGGGGGGAGAACGGCCGCGCGGGACCCAAACGAAGGGACGGGGGGGGGCCCCCGCAGGGGAGGGAGAGGGUGGAUUAUACUCAGGGGGAGGAAACAAACCCACGUGUGAGAGCGAAGGACAGAGAACGAGAGAAGACAGCGCCCCCCCCGGGAAACGUGAGGACAGGGGGCGCGGGGGUGUCCACCUCGCGUGGCGAGAGAUGGGGGGAAAAGCCCCGAAGCGAGCGCCCCCCGUCCCAUAGGGUCCCAGCAUUAAGCCGGGGACUCAUGCGAAACUGCCGGCGACGACUAGGAGGAAGGAGGGGAUGACGUCAAAUCAUCAGGCCCCUAAGACCCGGGGCGACCCACGCGCAAAAGGGCGGGAAAAGAGAGGCGAGACCCCGAGGGGGGAAGCAAACCUCACAAGAC
rnacentral:rRNA from 1 species